UACACUUAGUUCCCUAUCUGCGCUAUGGGUCCCACGUCAGUGUGGUUGGUGGCCGUUUGUGUCCUGGGAGCAGGCCCCUCGGACGCCAGAGUCAUCCAGACCCCCAGACACCUGCUGGCCCAAGCAGGUAGGAAGGUGAAACUGAGCUGUAAACAGGACCAGAACCACGACACCAUGUACUGGUACCGGCAGGACCAGGGACAGGGGCUGCAGCUCAUCUAUUAUUCCGUUGGAGAACAGAAGACCAAGGGCGAAGCUGCAGGAGAAUUUGACGUCACACGGUCAGAAACGCAGAGUUUCUCCCUCGAAAACUCUGCUGUGAAGAUGGCAGAUUCUUCGCUGUAUUUCUGUGCGAGCAGUGUAACCACAGUGCUGCGGUGUCCCCUCUGCCCUGUGCACGAACCUCCACCGGUCCAGGGCAGGAAGCAGGAGCGUCUGGCCCACAGCGUCUGCCUUCUCACUUCUCUUUCCUUCCCCCACAGGCCCGCAGAUGCUGGAGUCACCCAGACCCUCAGAUAUUAUCUGCUGGCUGAGAAGGAAAGGGAGGGGACACUGAGCUAUGAACAGACCAUGAAUCAUGACUGA